AAAUUGAAGAGUUUGAUCAUGGCUCAGAUUGAACGCUGGCGGCAGGCCUAACACAUGCAAGUCGAACGGUAACAGGAAGAAGCUUGCUUCUUUGCUGACGAGUGGCGGACGGGUGAGUAAUGUCUGGGAAACUGCCUGAUGGAGGGGGAUAACUACUGGAAACGGUAGCUAAUACCGCAUAACGUCGCAAGACCAAAGUGGGGGACCUUCGGGCCUCAUGCCAUCAGAUGUGCCCAGAUGGGAUUAGCUAGUAGGUGGGGUAACGGCUCACCUAGGCGACGAUCCCUAGCUGGUCUGAGAGGAUGACC
rnacentral:rRNA from 1 species